CAGGAAACUAAACAUAUAUUUAUCAUCAGAAUGCAACCUCAAAAGGUGUGACUCAUAAUGACGUUAAGGUCUAGAACCUUGGCAGACCAAAGAAUCUGCACUGCUCCUGAGAAAGCUGGCCAUAGAGAAGAAUAGGGAUGUGGGCCUGAGUGAGCUGUGACUCAUCCUGGGUGCACCUCUCCCAAUGCUGGGCACCCCUCUACAGGCUGAAGAAAUCUCCAACUUCCAUUCCAUCUUCUGAGAGUCCUGAGAGGCACAGCAUGGGGCUGGGGCUUUUCUUUGGAUUAUGUUGGGAUGUUUACCUUCAUCUUUUCGUUAUUCUCAUUUUUCAUAAGCCUCAAAUUACCUAGCUCGCUCACGUACUGAGCACGUUUGCAUGCUGUUACAUCCACUUCAACAGCUUAAUAAUGGCACAACAUUUCACCGGGUGUUGUCACCCGUGCCACCAACAAAGGGGUGAGUGU
rnacentral:lncRNA from 1 species